UUUCAUUCAUUCUUCCAGGGCUUUUAAUCGCGUGCACGUUAUCUAUCCCCUUCAUGUCUUCCGUUCCAUCUUCACUCUCUUUGCCUCUCUCCGUCUUCUGUUUCUUUGUUUGCGAUGUUGAGGCCAGGGAUUCCUCUCCCCAUUACAUCACAAGGCCCUCUCUUUAACCCCAAAGUAGUGGCUGCCGUUUUUUCCGCAGCGGCAUCGAGAUCGGCGACGAGGUGAAGACCCUGAUGUUUGUGCGCGUGAGAGAAACCGCGCGACACAGUGGAGUGGAGGGGUGAUUGUGUGAGCGAUCAGAUCUCUUUCGCCUAACCUUAGGUAUGCAUUUUGUGUGCUACAAUGUUUGUUUUGAGGCCCUGCCGUUCGGUUUUGGUGGAGACUUUCAGCUUCACUCUGUUUUCAUACUGGCUUAAGGUGUGGCAUUCUGAAGGUUUUGGUUGCUCAAAAGAUCCUCCGUUUUGUGAGUGCUUCUAAUUCUUCCGCUAGGUUUGAUCUCUUAAAAGUUCUGAAAUCAUGUUUUGGGCCUCUCUUGAGUUCCUAUUAUCAUGACAAGGCUCCUCCACUUCCUUCUUGCCCUCCAAAUCCGGCGGUGGCAAGCAGAAUAAGGUGGAGUUGUCGAAGUAUAGCAAACAAUGGUGGAUGAAUGUUUAAUGGCAAGAUUUCGCUGGACAAAAAGGUUUGCUUUCUAUUUCUUUGAUUCUCAUCUUUGUGCCUUUAGGUAAUGUCAUCUCCUUCUAUAUUUAUUUUCCUUUUAUCUCAUUAAAAACACCCUUAUUUUCCCUUACUAUCGUUUUAUACAUGUUCCACUCCUCUGCCGCGUGCAAUGAACACAAGUGGAGAUGAUCAGGAUGUGGGCGUCCUGGAGUUAGGUGAACUUCUUUAUUAACUUCUUUAUCCAUCUCUUAUGCUCAAGAAUCUGGGUCCACUGAUUGAGCUCCAAAAACAUGCUUUUCUGAAACUUUUGUGGCUGGGUUUGUUGAUGUUGCCCAUGUUCCUGAGCUUUCAAUGCCGGAAAUCUUUCAUGGACUGCAGUUCUGUUGAACCACUCUUCAACAAAUGAUGAACACAUUGGAUACGAUUGUGGAAGGUCCCUUUGGUUAUAGAAGCACUUCACCUUUGAAGGCUAAAUAAGUUGUAGUUCAAACAUGAAUCCAGAAUGAAAAGAAACAAUAGGGGAGCAAGAGUUUUGGCCAGGUUUUGUGAAACUUUUGCAGGAAAUGCAGGAGUGGCAGAGAAAAAACACUAUCUAUUGAAGCAUUCCACAAAAAUCAUAAUUGUGGAGAUGAUCAGGAAGUGGGGUUCCUAGCAGCAUAGACAACCAUGUUCUUGCGAGAAGGGUCAAUAUGAGAGACUUGAUUAGAAUGGUGAGAAUGGAAUGACAGUUUCAUCUGAGGAGACUGCUAAAUCUGGCGUUAGAAAGUAGAAGAAGGAUGUAUUUGACCUACCUUUUCACACAGUUAGAGAUCAAAUAGAAGAAAGCCUUUGAACCAAGAUGGCUUCUAUGAAGCUGGGUCUACUGAUUCUGUUCCAAAGAAUGCUUCUUUGACUCUAUUGUUGUGCAGGUUCAACAAACUUUUGAAAGCUGCAAAGUGUAUCAAGAUACAGAAUUAAUAUAUGUAGUGCAUCAAGUUUUCAUGUUUUUUGAACUUCCUUUGUUUUAAGUUUUUUUCUUUUGUGGGCUUCGGAUUCUAAGUUCCAUUUGUACUGUCAAGAGAUGAUAUCUUCAAUUUUGAAGGGCAUUACGACCCAACUAUGAUAUAUUGGAAUUGAAUUAUUACGGUCUUUGCAA